GACGUGACUUCAGAGUUUGAUCCUGGCUCAGGACGAACGCUGGCGGCGUGCUUAACACAUGCAAGUCGAACGCUGAAGCCUGCAGCUUGCUGUGGGUGGAUGAGUGGCGAACGGGUGAGUAACACGUGAGUAACCUGCCCCUGACUCUGGGAUAAGCCCGGGAAACUGGGUCUAAUACCGGAUAUGACCAUUCUCCGCAUGGAGUGGCGGUGGAAAGUUUUUCGGUUGGGGAUGGGCUCGCGGCCUAUCAGCUUGUUGGUGGGGUGAUGGCCUACCAAGGCGACGACGGGUAGCCGGCCUGAGAGGGCGACCGGCCACACUGGGACUGAGACACGGCCCAG
rnacentral:rRNA from 1 species